rnacentral:SRP_RNA from 1 species
AUAACGGCUCUAUAUGGUACAACAUAGCCUAAUCCCCCCAGGACAGAAAUGUAGCAAGGGUAAGCUAGCUCUUGUAGGUAUAUAGAGCCUUUUAUUA